AACUCAUCAAGAACGACCGAGGGAUCAGGCCCGAUGACGUCGUAGCAACCGGUUCUCCGAAAGGAUGAACGGCAAGGUGCUAAAUCCUGCCUGGCAGCAAACCCAGGGACGAUGAGGG
rnacentral:ncRNA from 2 species